rnacentral:rRNA from 1 species
UACGAAGGGGGCUAGCGUUGCUCGGAAUCACUGGGCGUAAAGCGCACGUAGGCGGAUUGCUAAGUCAGGGGUGAAAUCCUGGAGCUCAACUCCAGAACUGCCUUUGAUACUGGCGAUCUCGAGUCCGGGAGAGGUGAGUGGAACUGCGAGUGUAGAGGUGAAAUUCGUAGAUAUUCGCAAGAACACCAGUGGCGAAGGCGGCUCACUGGACCGGAACUGACGCUGAGGCGCGAAAGCGUGGGGAGCAAACAGG